rnacentral:lncRNA from 1 species
AGCAAAGAAAAAUUGAGAAGAAGAAAAUAAAGUUGAAACCGAUCUGUAAGAAUAAGGGUUAGAGAGGGUACCGAUCGAAGUCAAAGAUGAAAUUGAAGUCUUAAAAUAAAAAGAAAAUUGAAAAGUAAAGUAAAGAGAAUAUAUUGAACCCACACACACAUACACACACAGAGAGAGAGAGAGAGAGAGGGACCUGAGGAGAGGAUGAUGAAAAGGAGAAGACGAUGUUUACAACGGUAGUAGGCCCGUGCUUAUCGUUCUCUCUCAAGUAAAGAAAAUGAACUAACCUCUGUUAGAUUCAUCACCCACUGUUUGGUGUUUGCUUUAUUUACCUGCUGC